rnacentral:rRNA from 1 species
UACGGGGGGGGCAAGCGUUGUUCGGAAUUACUGGGCGUAAAGGGCUCGUAGGCGGCCAACUAAGUCGGAUGUGAAAUCCCCAGGCUCAACCUGGGAACUGCAUCCGAUACUGCAGGGCUAGAGUCCGGAAGAGGCGAGUGGAAUUCCUGGUGUAGCGGUGAAAUGCGUAGAGAUCAGGAAGAACACCAGUGGCGAAGGCGCUCUGCUAGGCCGUAACUGACACUGAGGGACGAAAGCUAGGGGAGCGAAUGGG